CUAUUCCUCCCCAGAACCUGACAUUCAAGACUCCUCUGGAAGUGAAGCUCAAUCAGUAAAACCAAGUACAAGAAGAAAGAAAGGAAUAGAACUGGGAGACAUUCAGAGUUCCAUCGAAUCUAUAAAACAAACACAGGAAGAAAUUAAAAGAAAUAUUAUGGCUCUUCGAAAUCAUUUAGUUUCAAGCACACCGGCCACGGAUUAUUUUCUGCAACAAAAAGACUACUUCAUCAUUUUCCUCCUGAUUUUGCUUCAAGUCAUAAUAAACUUCAUGUUCAAGUAGAAGUUCUCUACCAUUGAAUCAGUGAACUAGAAAGAUCUGAUUUGGCCUGGGACCAGUGUUCAAG
rnacentral:lncRNA from 1 species